UACGUAGGGCGCAAGCGUUGUCCGGAAUUAUUGGGCGUAAAGAGCUCGUAGGCGGCUUGUCACGUCGGGUGUGAAAGCCCGGGGCUUAACCCCGGGUCUGCAUUCGAUACGGGCAGGCUAGAGUGUGGUAGGGGAGAUCGGAAUUCCUGGUGUAGCGGUGAAAUGCGCAGAUAUCAGGAGGAACACCGGUGGCGAAGGCGGAUCUCUGGGCCAUUACUGACGCUGAGGGACGAAAGCUAGGGGAGCGAAUGGG
rnacentral:rRNA from 1 species